GGUGGAAUGGCUCAGUAGUAGAAAACCAGCUUCAAGUGCUGGAGGCCCUAAGAUCAAACCAUAGUACCACCA
rnacentral:tRNA from 1 species